GCGGUAGGCCUAACACAUGCAAGUCGAACGGCAGCACAAACGGAGGUUUCGGCCAAAGGGAGUGCUCUGGUUAGUGGCGGACGGGUGAGCAACGCGUGAGUAACCUGCCCUUAAGAGGGGGAUAACGUCUGGAAACGGACGCUAAUACCGCAUGAAAUACAAGGACCGCAUGGUCAAUGUAUCAAAGAUUUAUCGCUUAGGGAUGGACUCGCGUCCGAUUAGGUAGUUGGUGGGGUAACGGCUCACCAAGCCCGCGAUCGGUAGCCGGACUGAGAGGUUGAACGGCCACAUUGGGACUGAGACACGGCCCAGACUCCUACGGGAGGCAGCAGUGGGGGAUAUUGCGCAAUGGGGGAAACCCUGACGCAGCAACGCCGCGUGAAGGAAGAAGGUUUUCGGAUUGAAAACUUCUUUUGUCAGGGACGAAGAAUGACGGUACCUGACGAAUAAGCUCCGGCUAACUACGUGCCAGCCGCCGCGGUAAGAC
rnacentral:rRNA from 1 species